AUCGAUGAAGAACGCAGCGAAACGCGAUAUGUAAUGUGAAUUGCAGAAUUCAGUGAAUCAUCGAAUCUUUGAACGCACCUUGCGCCCUUUGGUAUUCCAAAGGGCAUGCCUGUUUGAGUGUCAUUAAAUUAUCAACCUUUUCUUUUGUAAUGAUUGAUCAGGCUUGGAUGUGGGGGCUGCGGGUCUCUCAGAGAUCGGCUCCCCUUAAAUGCAUUAGUGGAACCCUUUGUGGAUCAUUAUUGGCGUGAUAAUUAUCUAUCCCAGUGAUCGUGAAGCAAGCCUAACAAGCACCAGGGUUUGGCUUAUAACCGUCCCUCUCUGGGACAAAUCUUCAUUUUAAUGUGACCUCAAAUCAGGUAGGACUACCCGCUGAACUUAAGCAUAUCAAUAAGCGGAGGAAAAGAAACUAACAAGGAUUCCCCUAGUAACUGCGAGUGAACCGGGAAAAGCUCAAAUUUGUAAUCUGGCGGUCCUUGUGGCCGUCCGAGUUGUAAUCUAGAGAAGUGCUAUCCGCGCUGGACCGUGUACAAGUCUUCUGGAAUGAAGCAUCAUAGAGGGUGAGAAUCCCGUCUUUGACACGGACUGCCAGGGCUAUGUGAUGCACUUUCGAUGAGUCGAGUUGUUUGGGAAUGCAGCUCUAAAUGGGUGGUAAAUUCCAUCUAAAGCUAAAUAUAGGCGAGAGACCGAUAGCGAACAAGUACCGUGAGGGAAAGAUGAAAAGAACUUUGGAAAGAGAGUUAAACAGUACGUGAAAUUGUUGAAAGGGAAACGCUUGAAGUCAGUCGCGUUGGCCGGGGAUCAACCUUGCAUUCAUUUGUGGGGCGUACUUUCUGGUUGACGGGUCAGCAUCAAUUUUGACCGUUGGAAAAAGGUUGGGGGAAUGUGGCAUCUUCGGAUGUGUUAUAGACUCUGACUGCAUACAACGGUUGGGAUUGAGGAACUCAGCACGCCGCAAGGCCGGGGGAAACCCACGUACGUGCUUAGGAUGCUGGCAUAAUGGCUUUAAUCGACCCGUCUUGAAACACGG
rnacentral:rRNA from 1 species